GAUGAACGCUGGCGGCGUGCCUAAUACAUGCCAGUCGAGCGAACAGACGAGGAGCUUGCUCCUUUGACGUUAGCGGCGGACGGGUGAGUAACACGUAGGUAACCUACCUAUAAGACUGGGAUAACUUCGGGAAACCGGAGCUAAUACCGGAUAAUAUUUCGAACCGCAUGGUUCGAUAGUGAAAGAUGGCUUUGCUAUCACUUAUAGAUGGACCUGCGCCGUAUUAGCUAGUUGGUAAGGUAACGGCUUACCAAGGCAACGAACCGUAGCUGACCUGAGAGGGUGAUCGGCCACACUGGAACUGAGACACGGUCCAGACUCCUACGGGAGGCAGCAGUAGGGAAUCUUCCGCAAUGGGCGAAAGCCUGACGGAGCAACGCCGUGUGAGUGAUGAAGGUCUUCGGAUCGUAAAACUCUGUUAUUAGGGAAGAACAAAAGUGUAAGUAACUGUGCACGUCUUGACGGUACCUAAUCAGAAAGCCACGGCUAACUACGUG
rnacentral:rRNA from 1 species